rnacentral:rRNA from 1 species
AUUGAACGCUGGCGGCAGGCCUAACACAUGCAAGUCGAGCGGUAGAGAGGUGCUUGCAUCUCUUGAGAGCGGCGGACGGGUGAGUAAUGCCUAGGAAUCUGCCUAGUGGUGGGGGGAUAACGUUCGGAAACGGACGCUAAUACCGCAUACGUCCUACGGGAGAAAGCGGGGGAUCUUCGGACCUCGCGCCAUUAGAUGAGCCUAGGUCGGAUUAGCUAGUUGGUGAGGUAAUGGCUCACCAAGGCGACGAUCCGUAACUGGUCUGAGAGGAUGAUCAGUCACACUGGAACUGAGACACGGUCCAGACUCCUACGGGAGGCAGCAGUGGGGGAAUAUUGGACAAUGGGCGGAAAGGACCUGAUCCAGCCAUGCCGCGUGUGUGAAGAAGGUCUUCGGAUUGUAAGCACUUUAAGUUGGGAGGAAGGGUAGUAACCUAAUACGUU